rnacentral:misc_RNA from 1 species
AUGAUACGCUUAUUUAUAUAUCCAGCUAUGUGUUUGCCCGUAAGCGCCGCCGCUGUCGUGAUUUCAAAGCCAGUGUGCAGUUUUCGGGCAUCAGUUAUCAUUGAAGAAGAAGAAUUAUGGAUAUCAGGAGAAGAACUUUGUACGGAAGGAAGCAGCGAUGAAGAGGAUAGUAAAACAUGUUCGAGAUCAUCCUAUAGAACGAAUAGGAAUCAUGAUUCGCGUAAUUCGUCGUUCAGUGGAAGACAUCAUUGGAUUGUAGCGGAUAAUACGAAAGAAAUUUCCGAACGAUUAAAUAGCAAUUCUGAAAUUAGAAAUACGAUGCCUUCGAUAGAAAUAAUCAAUUCGUCUAAAGUAGAUACGCCAAAUACACAAUCGAAUUCUUCGAUAGAAUCGGAAAUGAAUGUUUUAAUGACGGAUGAUACAUCGUGUUCGGAUGUGACACAAGAUGAGGAAGAAGGAGAAAGCUUUAAAGACUGUGAAAUAUCGUGGAAAGUUAACAGAGGUACCAUCAGGUUACUUAAUACAGGUGCAAAGGUUGCUACUACGAAACUCGAAAAACCGUAACACUGAAUUUUUCAUCAGAGAUAGUAUUUCUUAGGAUUUAAUCUUAUUAACAAUCUUAUAUAUAUUUUUUAUUAUCAAUUCUUGCGUCUUAAUUUCGACGAUAAUUGUUUCGAAUGAAAUUCAAAUUUUUCCCGCAAAUAAAUCGUGACGUUGCGAAAGCUUAUUUCCUUGAAUUUUGAUUGGACAGCUUACAUUUAAUGUAAUCCAAUCAAAAUCUUUUAAAGCACGUCAUGUGAUUUUUGACUUUUUAAAUAAUAUUUAGCUUCUCUUAGUUUCUUAGUUUUUAUUUGUAAAUACAAAUGUUAGUAUAUUGAAUAUACUCCUGGUUUGAUAAAAGAUAUAUCGACAAAGGGAAUGCAAGAGGAAAUAACUGAAUUAAAGGAAUUAACGCAAUUAGGUUAUCAACGAGAACGUGAAUUUUUCGCGCGUUUACGAGAAAAUCUUCAAAUUAAAGAUGAUCACGAUGACAUCGGGAAAGCAUAUCUAAGAAAUAAUAUUAAUAAAUGCCAAUUGAAAAACAUUAGUACAAUAAAUGAGGAGUUGAAAAAAGAAAUAUCGAAGAUAGAGAAUUUGGAUACUGCUAUCAAAAAAUUUGAUAAUAAUAUAGAAGUAAAUAUUUUUUGCAAUUUCGAAUAUAUUAAACACAUUUAACAUAUUCACUUCAAUAAGUAAAUUGUUAUAAGUAAAACAAAGUAUAUUUAGGAUGAUUCUUAACAUAGAUAGAGAUGAAAGAAACUUUAUUAUGUCAAUACAAAAA